CACAAUAAAAUAUGAAGGCUGUACGCGGCUGUGCUCUCGGGCCAGUUUUGCGGAGGCUGAAUUAUUUAUUACCCUUGUCUUUUGCGGCACUUGUUGUUUCCUGGGCGGGUUCGCCCGCCACCAGGACCACAUCAUAAACCUUUUUUAUGCAGUUGCAAUCAGCGUCAGUAUAACAAAUGUAAAUCAUUUA
rnacentral:misc_RNA from 1 species